CACUCAAGCAUUUGUUUAAGAGCAACUAAAACUAUUAAUUUAAAUGCGUACAAUCAAAAUUGGCCUUGAAAACAUUCAUUAUGGUUUUGGCGCAGUCUGGAAGCUAUAGGCUGUAUGAUGUAUAAUUUGCAUCUCUGCAUAUUAUCUCUGCUGAAAA